UACCAGCACCCCGAGUGGUCGCGACGAUUAUUGGGCCUAAAGCAUCCGUAGCCGGUUCUACAAGUCUUCCGUUAAAUCCACCUGCUUAACAGAUGGGCUGCGGAGGAUACUAUAGAGCUAGGAGGCGGGAGAGGCAAGCGGUACUUAGUGGGUAGGGGUAAAAUCCGUUGAUCCAUUGAAGACCACCAGUGGCGAAGGCGGCUUGCCAGAACGCACUCGACGGUGAGGGAUGAAAGCUGGGGGAGCAAACCGG
rnacentral:rRNA from 1 species